rnacentral:rRNA from 1 species
GUCCACGCCCUAACGAUGUCGACUGGUUGUUGGGUUUGACACUCUCAGUAACGAAGCUAACGCGUGAAGUCGACCGCCUGGGGAGUACGGCCGCAAGGUUAAACUCAAAGGAAUUGACGGGACCCGCACAAGCGGUGGAUUAUGUGGAUUAAUUCGAUGCAACGCGAAAACCUUACCUACCCUUGACAUGUCCGAGAGGCUGGAGAGAUCCAGCUGUGCCCGAAAGGGAAUCGGAACACAGGUGCUGCAUGGCUGUCGU